UCCUACGGGAGGCAGCAGUGGGGAAUAUUGGACAAUGGGGGCAACCCUGAUCCAGCCAUGCCGCGUGUGUGAAGAAGGCCCUCGGGUUGUAAAGCACUUUCAGCGAGGAAGAACGCCUAGUGGUUAAUACCCGCUAGGAAAGAUAUCACUCGCAGAAGAAGCACCGGCUAACUCCGUGCCAGCAGCCGCGGUAAUACGGAGGGUGCAAGCGUUAAUCGGAAUUACUGGGCGUAAAGCGCGCGUAGGUGGCUUGAUAAGCCGGUUGUGAAAGCCCCGGGCUCAACCUGGGAACGGCAUCCGGAACUGUCAAGCUAGAGUGCAGGAGAGGAAGGUAGAAUUCCCGGUGUAGCGGUGAAAUGCGUAGAGAUCGGGAGGAAUACCAGUGGCGAAGGCGGCCUUCUGGACUGACACUGACACUGAGGUGCGAAAGCGUGGGUAGCAAACAGGAUUAGAUACCCUGGUAGUCCACGCCGUAAACGAUGUCGACCAGCCGUUGGGUGCCUAGCGCACUUUGUGGCGAAGUUAACGCGAUAAGUCGACCGCCUGGGGAGUACGGCCGCAAGGUUAAAACUCAAAUGAAUUGACGG
rnacentral:rRNA from 1 species